GACGAACGCUGGCGGCGUGCUUAACACAUGCAAGUCGAACGGAAAGGCUCCUGCUUGCAGGGGUACUCGAGUGGCGAACGGGUGAGUAACACGUGGGUGAUCUGCCUUGUACUCUGGGAUAAGCUUGGGAAACUGGGUCUAAUACCGGAUAAUAACUGCCUUUAGUGUGGUGGUUGGAAAGUUUUUUCGGUGCAAGAUGAGCUCGCGGCCUAUCAGCUUGUUGGUGGGGUAAUGGCCUACCAAGGCGUCGACGGGUAGCCGGCCUGAGAGGGUGUACGGCCACAUUGGGACUGAGAUACGGCCCAGACGCCUACGGGAGGCAGCAGUGGGGAAUAUUGCACAAUGGGCGGAAGCCUGAUGCAGCGACGCCGCGUGGGGGAUGACGGCCUUCGGGUUGUAAACUCCUUUCGACAGGGACGAAGCUUUUUGUGACGGUACCUGUAUAAGAAGCACCGGCUAACUACGUG
rnacentral:rRNA from 1 species